GGAGAGAUUAAAUGUCCAGCAAACGACGGCAAUGUUGCCAGAUUCCUUUUAGCGGGAAUUUUAAAAUUUUAUAGCAGUUUGGUUUUAAAUUUGACAGUUCUGUUUUCUCAAGUCAAAAACCUUAACCUUACUUUUACAAGUGAUUAGGAUUAUUAUUAUUAUUUUAUUUACAUGUAAAUUGAAACAAUAAAUAUUGUGCUGUGUCAUAAUUUCAAACUCAUUAUGCUGCAGUCUUUUCCAGUUGAUAAAAUUGCAAUUCAAAAACUUUUAGAUUUGCACUGUAUUGAUGGCACAGGAAAAGAACAAGAGUACAAGAAAAUGAAACAUCUUAUUAUGAAUGUAUAUGUAUGUGAUCUUAAAAAAAUUAUUUUACAAAACAAGAUAGAGAAACAGCUUUAAAAUCCCAAGGAUCCUGCAAAAUGUUUGGUGUACUAGUUGAAUAAUAGUAUCUAAAAAUAUUGAAACUAUUUUAAAACACGUUACGGCCAUGAGGAUGAUAUAGAGCACUUACAUAAAUACCAAAAUCAGAUAAAUAUCUCUUCAAAGUUUAUUUUGAGACUUUCUUCAAAAAUUAAACUUCAGACUGUUCAGGAUAGCAUAAUAGCAUAGGAGACGAAUUAAAAAGAAUUGAUUUACUUACACGAAAAGAUAUCACAAACAUUAAACUCUCUUAUGGCAUUGAUUUGAAAGAUGGGUAUAUGUACAAUGAUGAUGCAACCAGUGUUUAUUUUUGGGUUGAAUGCUUACAGACUCAUGUCCAAUAUUAUUUUACAAACAACAGGGCAUACUAAUGGAUAUUCAUUCUGAAUUUAACAUUUAUGAUUUUUGUCUUAUUUUCCUUAAUACUGUGCCAAAAGGAAAUGUUAAUUAAGUUUGGUAAAUCCUUUAUCGCAAUCGAUGGAACUCAUGGGCUCAAUUCCUAUGACUUUGAACUUAUGACAGUAUUAGUAAAAGAUGAAUUUGGGAAUGGAUUUUGUACUGCUUUCUUAUUUUCAAAUAGAAAAGAUACCUACUUUAA